UAGUCCACGCCCUAAACGAUGCUUACUGGAUAUUCCUGUUAUGGGAGUGUCUGAGGGAAACCAUUAAGUAAGCCACCUGGGGAGUACGUUCGCAAGAAUGAAACUCAAAGGAAUUGACGGGGGCCCGCACAAGCGGUGGAGCAUGUGGUUUAAUUCGAUGAUACGCGAGGAACCUUACCAGGGCUUAAAUGUAGUGGGACAGGCUGAGAAAUCGGCCCUUCUUCGGACUCAUUACAAGGUGCUGCAUGGUUGUCGUCAGCUCGUGCCGUGAGGUGUCAGGUUAAGUCCUAUAACGAGCGCAACCCCUGUUGUUAGUUGCCAGCAGUUAGGCUGGGCACUCUAACGGGACUGCCUGUGAAAGCAGGAGGAAGGCGGGGAUGACGUCUAGUCAGGCAUGGUCCUUACGACCUGGGCUACACACGUGCUACAAUGGCCAGGACAAUGCGCUGCUACUCUGUGAAGAGAUGCUAAUCGCUUAAACCUGGUCUCAGUUCGGAUUG
rnacentral:rRNA from 1 species